GCCUCCGUGGUGCAAACGGAAACAUACUCGACGCGCAUUCGAGAGGUCCAGGGUUCGAGUCCCUGCGAAGGCA